UACAGAGGGUGCGAGCGUUAAUCGGAAUGACUGGGCGUAAAGGGUGCGUAGGUGGUUUGAUAAGUUAGGUGUGAAAGUCCUGGGCUUAACCUGGGGAUUGCGCUUAAGACUGUUGAGCUAGAGUACUGUAGAGGAAGGUGGAAUUUCCGGUGUAGCAGUGAAAUGCGUAGAUAUCGGAAGGAACAUCAGUGGCGAAGGCGACUUUCUGGAUAGCUACUGACACUGAGGCACGAAAGCGUGGGGAGCAAACAGG
rnacentral:rRNA from 1 species